rnacentral:miRNA from 1 species
AGGUGUAGGUGUUCAUGCAGA